CCUGUGGUGUGGGAUGUAUUCAGAAUGAUUUUGCCCCCUUCAUCAGUUCUGAAAAUGUUUUCAGCCGACAAUCGUAAAUGUUAAACCUGAUGAAUAUUUACAAAUGUAAAUCCUGAUGUGUGCGGUCAACACCGACUUCGGCCGAUCUACCGACUCCAUGAACAAUAGCCAAUUGAGAAGCGAUGUGAAAUAGAGGAGCAACCGGUUAUGUUGAGCGUUAGUAUAACUUGUCUCACAAGUCAUUCAUCACAGUAAAAAUAACAAGGAGAAGAGGUUGCAACCGCAAUGUGAUUACUGGAUAAACUGUACACCAGAGACGAGCUGUCACUGAUGGAUGGGUGCUAUCCGGGAAACUCCAUACAGGCUGACUGUUAUCGACUCACUGUGGCUGUGAGAGGUGAUCACCCUCUCUGUCUCUGUGCACAUGAACUCUUCCGAGCAACAAGUUGGCCGGCUAAUGCGUGAUUUGGAAAAAACAGUCCAAGAAAUUCUCAUCAAAUGCAGGACGACUGCGGAGGUUUUAGUGGAGACGACGCCAAGAAUGAUCUGCUCUGACUCGACCUGUUCGUCUGGUCUAUUUCGAGCUGCCGCCAGUGCAGCAGAGGAAAGGUUUCGGAAGACCUUGCUCCUGGCUCAUGUCCUCGCAGGCUCCGGAAGAAACCUUCCAAAAGGUGUUUAAAUCAGCCUUUGACGCCAAUGUCCUGAUCAUGAACCCUUCCCUUUGUUUCAAAGGAGGUGGCGCUUUUUGAUCAACUUCAACACAAAGAGCUAUUGGAGAGACAGGAUGUUUGGUCAUCUCGUGAUGCUGGCACAAGAACUUACACAGCAUCUUCGGGCAGUUAAUUAAUUGUAAGUUGUGACUGAUUAAUUGCAGACAUGCGCUGUAAAACAAGGGCAUCAUUGAGGAAGAGAAUGUUUCUUCUUUACAAUCCACACCCAAAUUUGUUAACACUGACAACAUUCCAGUCCGCCUGCCCUGCCCUUGCCUGUACUCCCAUCGUCUGUGUCAUUCACUUCAAUUAUGAGUGGCUGCAAACAAGCUCAGCACAGAGUACUCAGUUCGUGCAUGUGCUUCUCUGCUGUUGAGGGAGGAGGUGAUCUGUGAGUGUUUGUGUGUGUGUGCGUGUGUGUGUGCAGUUUGCACAGUAUUCUUAGCCUCGGGUUUAACCAGAGGACGAGCGGUCAAAGGUAAGCACGGCGGCCAGGACUUAAAGGACCACAGCUCAGCUCUGCUAAUAACUUGCAGCAGAGAUUUUUAAAAUGCACUUUAAACCCAACACUUACUGGACGGGCCUGCUGUCAACCUGUUAAAAGUUUCACAGUGCACUCAAGGGCUUUUUACACUUCAGUUUUGAACUGAAGAACAGAUACAAAUCUGAAAAUGGUGGUUUAUCAUGUGCGCUCCAAAAAAGCCACACUAAACGGGUUUGUUUAUGUGUGCCCUGCGAUUGGCUGGCAACCAGUUCAGGGUGUACCCCGCCUCCUGCCCAAUGAUAGCUGGGAUAGGAUCAAGCACUCCCGCGACCCUUGUGAGGAUAAGCGGCUCAGGAAAUGAAUGGAUGGAUGGAGUUCCAGUCAGGCAGAAAGCAGCUUGCAUUUGCAAUCAUCAAAGUCCAACAGACGCAUCCAUCCAUCAUGUAUACUGCUUAUCCUCACUAGGACGGCGGGUGUGCUGGAGCUAAUCCCAGCUGACUUCGGGUGAGAGGUGUUGUACACCCUGGACUGGUGGCCAGUCAAUUUUAGCAGACGUACAGUAUAUGUUUAACAAAGAAUAUAUGAGACAAACUGCCAGUGGUGUUCAAAGGUGUUUUGAUGCCCGAGAGUUUCCUCGUUGGAAACCAAUCGUCAACGCUCUGAAUAAAUGUAUGCCCACCUCCCUCAUUUUGACAUAUUAACAUAACAUAUUAGCCAAAAAAUAUAUAUUUUUGGUUAAGGAGCUUCUACACAGUAUACAAGGGUGAAAAUAAAUAAAAUAACAAAAACAUAUUGUCAAAGAACAUUUAGGUAAUUAUCAAUGUUGUCAUAGGCCCGACAUUGGGCGGUGGUCUCAUAAAUGUUUUUUUUUUUUUUUAAAUGCCACGUGCUGUAUGUUUCAGAUUUCAACUCAUGUUUCAUUUUUGUAUGCUUGUUAUAGCCAAAAAUAUUAUGAGUAGACUUAAUACAUGUUGGUGUCACACCUUAUAUAAAACUGCGAUAUGUGCUCGAUUGAUACAGAAGAAAAUCACUUGCUAAAAAUGUUAGCAUUACAUUUCUCUUAUGGAUAGGUACCAAACUCAAGGCCCGGGAGCCAGAUCUGGCCCACCACAUCAUUUUAUGUGGCCUGCAAAGGCAAAUCACGUGCGGCAACUUCCAUGAUUCUUGCUAAAAUCUGUACCAAAACUUCAAAUUGCCAUAUGUAAUAAACAAUAAUGUUGAGAUUGUGUUUUUUGUUAUCAAGCCGCU